AGCCGUUGGACCACCAGAAGACCUCGAU
rnacentral:sRNA from 1 species